UUACCAAAAAAAAAAAAACAAUUCUGCUUUAAGCGAGCAUUUAACAGAACAUUUGAUAGUUUGUUGGUUUGUAAAAGAAAUAAAAUUAACUUUUUUAAGCACUUCUUCGGCGUAAAAAGAUUUUAAGGCACUCCUUGGCGUUUGGUAAAAAUAUUAUCAUAAUCUAAAAGUUAUCUGAUCUGGUAAAAUAUCUGAUGAAAAUUAUUGGUCAAUCAAUUAAUAGGUCUCUUAGACAUGCUGAUUUAAGUCAUUAAGUCCUCUGUAUCAUAAAUGAGUUAAAUCUUAGAUUGACUCUUUGAAGAGAUAUGCUUAAAAAUAAAAUUGUUACUGUAGGGGGAGGGCGCUCACUCGCGAAAGAGUGAUAUCAAGCAAGAAAAAGCCAUAUUUGACUUGUAUUUGACUGAGUAUUUUUUGACUCUUGAAAGAGCCAUAAAUCUAUGUGGCAAACUCAUUAACGAAUCCAAAUCACUCUUGAGUUAAGUAACUCUUAACAGAGUUAACUAACUUUCAAUGAGUAAGUUACUUACUUCAAAUGAGUAAGUUAUAUCGCAAAGGAUAGUAUAUAAUAAUAAGCUGUUCGUAGAUAUUCGAACAGGGACGGCUCGAUGGUGGAAAUGGUAGCGAUGCCAGUCUUUACACCACAGGAUCGGGUAUCAAAUCGCAUCCGGGACCAACUUAUAUUUAUAUUAGUUACAUGUUAUAUUUACAUGUACAAAUUACGUACAUGUACCUGUUUAAAUUUAACUGUUGUAAAUAUGUUUGAUUCGAUGCCUUUUACGUUAUGAAAUCUUUCCAGUUCAGACGUUGUAGCUAAACAUCUACGAAAGACCUUUUUUAACUGGAAAAAACUAAAACCACGGUGGUAAUCCAGUAAGCCAGUAAAAUCCAACCAGUUUUCGGUCAAUGAAAGGAACUGGUUUUAUCUGCUUUAAUCAUCCCCCUAAAGGGGGAUCCCAAAUGUCAAUCCGUGGACCUAUUGUUUCAUGAGAAUCGCACCCUUUAUCUGGAAAGAUAAGGCAACCGCCCAACGAUAACGGGGUGGAAUUUCAAGUCAUAAGCUAACAUGCACAUCUUGUGCUAAAAAUAAAAACUCACCCUGACUGUGCCUGUUUGUGUGCGUGCGUGUGUGUGUAUGUGUGUUUGGGUAAACAACAACGUCGUAUGUUUACCAUGCAAUUUCAAAGUCCACUAUUCCACCAACAUUGGAACAGGGACACACGGUUUUUGUAUCUUUUUUUCCAGCGAUGAGAGUUGACGGUUUAUUUU